CGCGCGGAUGAGUCCGGUGCCCGUCUCCAUGGUGCUGAGGCGCGUGUCUCCGAUCUUCAACGCCAGGAUCUGGGCUCCGGGGGCAAUGCCGUUCCGCUCCGGCUCAUCUGGGAAGUGGCCUGCUGCUAUGCUCGCCACAUGUGUCCCAUGAGCCCCUGAACAGAGACAAGACCAUCACGGCUGUACACGUCAAGACGCAGGACAGAUUCCUACAAUACAGGGGAUCUACGUGAACUCUGACCUCCGCUGGUGACGAUGCAGAGAGUGUUUCCUUCGUCGUAGAUGUUAACGGAGUAGUUGAGCAUCUCAGCGUUUCCCAGAGUAGCAAACUCCUGCUUCUCUCUGUAGGAGGUCAGUACCGUGCAGCUGGACAGAUCUCCAGUCUCUGAGGUGUCUACCACAGCCCUGUAGAGGUUAGAGGUCAGUACCUUUAGGGGUUAGAGGUCACAAGGUAGCAGUUUAGGGGUUAGAUGUUACAGGGUAUCAGUUUAGGGGGUAGGGGUUAGAGGUUACGGGGUAGAGGGUAGAGGUUACGGGGUAUCAGUUUAGGGGUUAGAGGUUACGGGGUAUCAGUUUAGGGGU
ensembl:lncRNA